CAAAUCUUGAGUUCAUACAUUACGGUUUCGGGUGAAUUGGAGCUUUGUGCUUGCAGAUUAUUUUGAAUACACUUGCUGAAUCGAAUGGCCGCAUGUGCAGCUUGUAGGUAUGCCGGGAAAAUUGGAACGGUUUCAGGAAUGGGGACUGCUCUCUACAAAUUCAAAGCGUUUAGUGUGGAGGGGAAAUCGAAUACCACUUCUGUUUCUUCGCCUUUUGGAUAUUGCAGAAGAUCUGAUUAUCGGCCGUUUUCUCAGUUCGUGAAGUCUAGUGGAGGGCGAUUGUUCCCGGUUGACACAUUGGCUCAGAUUGAAAUGACUCAAGAAUCCAAUUUGUCCAAAUUCAAAUCUGAAGUUGAAAGCUCUCAGGGACAUCAUUUUUCUCUCUUGCAACAUGAAACUAAGAAACUUCAAAGUGAUAUGGAAAAAAUGCAUAAUAAGCUAAGGUCUGGUUUCACAGAGAUACUUUGCAACAAUUUUUGCCUCAUAUGAUGUAAGGAUAUAUAUUUUUUAUACUUCUUCGUAGGACAAUGACAUGCAUUGUAACACAGGUAUGAAACUGAUGACGUCACUAUAGCGAUAAGGGCUGAGUUCGCAUAUCAUAAGGCAAAAACCGAUCACAUGUACAACAAACUAGAUCGGGGAAUUCAUGCACUAAGUGCUGAGAUAGAAGCUACAAAGUAUGAUGUGAUAAAAUAUUUCAUAGGUACCAUUGUUUAUAUUUCAACUGUGGGUGUUGCUGUGAUUUUUAGGGCAUUGCAAAAGGGGCAUGAUCAUGAACCUUGAAUUUUUUUAUUUCUUUUUAUUGGUUUUGUUCUUUUCUUAUUUGCUAUUAUUGUAAACUGGAAAAGAAAAGAACACAUUUGCCACCGUUUUUUAAUAUUUAAUGCAAAAUUCCAAGUAUGGACUUCAUGCAA